UGAGAUCAUAUCGAAGAUGCUCCGCCUCUUGUUACAGAGUAGAAGAUGAAGAUGGUUCAGAUACAGAUGAUGACAAUGAUCAAAACACUAGGACAGUUGAAGGAUUCUAAGAUUUGAUUUGCAUCAGAUUAAUGAAAAUCUGGAGGAAGUUUGUAUCUUCAAUCUGAAGACAGAUCGUUGAAUCGAAAAGUGAAUAAUUGAAUGGUCUUAAUCCUU
rnacentral:lncRNA from 1 species